rnacentral:rRNA from 1 species
AGAACGAACGCUGGCGGCAGGCUUAACACAUGCAAGUCGAGCGCUCGCAGCAAUGCGGGAGCGGCAGACGGGUGAGUAACGCGUGGGAACAUACCCUCCGGUUCGGAAUAACUCAGGGAAACUUGAGCUAAUACCGAAUACGGCCAUUGAUUGAGAGAUUGGCGGCGAAAGAUUUAUCGCCGGAGGAUUGGCCCGCGUCCGAUUAGCUAGUUGGUGUGGUAAUGGCGCACCAAGGCGACGAUCGGUAGCUGGUCUGAGAGGAUGAUCAGCCACAUUGGGACUGAGACACGGCCCAAACUCCUACGGGAGGCAGCAGUGGGGGAAUAUUGGACAAUGGGCGCAAGCCUGAUCCAGCCAUGCCGCGUGAGUGAUGACGGCCUUAGGGUUGUAAAGCUCUUUCGCUAGGGACGAUAAUGACGGUACCUAGACAAGAAGCCCCGGCUAACUUCGUGCCAGCAGCCGC